UACAGAGGAGCCAAGCGUUGUCCGGAUUGACUGGGCGUAAAGCGCACGCAGGCGGACGCGCGCGUGGGGUGUGAAAUCUGGCCGCUUAACGGCCAGGCGCCAUCCCAUACGGCGCGUCUGGAGUGAUGCAGAGGUCGAUGGAAUUGCCGGUGUAGUGGUGAAAUGCGUAGAGAUCGGCAGGGACACCCAGGGGGAAACCAGUCGACUGGGCAUCUACUGACGCUGAGGUGCGAGAGCGUGGGGAGCGAACCGG
rnacentral:rRNA from 1 species